AGUGAACGCUGGCGGUAGGCCUAACACAUGCAAGUCGAACGGCAGCACAGUAAGUGCUUGCUCUUACGGGUGGCGCGUGUCGGACGGGUGAGGUAUACAUCGGAAUCUACUUUUUCGUGGGGGCUAACGUAGGGAAACUUACGCUAGUACCGCAUACGACCUACGGGUGAAAGCAGGGGAUCUUCGGACCUUGCGCGUUUGAAUGAGCCGAUGUCGGAUUAGCUAGUUGGCGGGGUAAAGGCCCACCAAGGCGACGAUCCGUAGCUGGUCUGAGAGGAUGGACCGCCAGCCUGGAAGUGAGACACGGCACAGACACCUGCAGUAGGCCGCAGUGGGGAAUCUUGCACAAUGGGGGAAAGCCUAAUCCAGCCAUACCGCGUGGGUGAAGAAGGACUUCGGGUUGUAGAGUCCUGUUGUUGGGAAAGAAAAGCAGCAGGUUAAUACCCCGCUGUUCUGACGGUACCCGAAGAAUAAGCACCGGCUAACUUCGUG
rnacentral:rRNA from 1 species